rnacentral:rRNA from 1 species
AGGGUUCGAUUCUGGCUCAGAUUGAACGCUGGCGGCGUGCUUAACACAUGCAAGUCGAACGCGAAAGGGACUUCGGUCCCGAGUAGAGUGGCGCACGGGUGAGUAACGCGUGGAUAAUCUACCUCUGUAUUGGGAAUAACAGCUGGAAACGGUUGCUAAUACCGAAUACGCUCAAAAAGAACUUUUUGAGGAAAGAAGGCCUCUGCAUAUGCUUUCGUACAGAGAUGAGUCCGCGUCCCAUUAGCUAGUUGGCGGGGUAACGGCCCACCAAGGCGACGAUGGGUAGCCGAUUUGAGAGGAUGAUCGGCCACAUUGGAACUGAAACACGGUCCAA